CUACUGCUGAUGGAGAUGCAAUAAGGCACGUCAAGGGUUGGACUAAUCGUCUGAGCACGUCAAGGGUUGAAACUUAAAAGAGGAAAUAAUCUUAGAGGUUCUGUUCCUCAAUCCCUUCUGAAAAGAGAAAAACAUGAUGGUUUAAAGCUAUUUGUUGAUGCAAAUAUAAACCGGCGCGGGUCGAGCGAACCAAGAUCCUGGCUGGUGGCGAUUGUUGCGUCUAUAUCUUGUGCGGCGAGUAGGAAAAGUCAGAUCGAUCUUGAGAAUUCUGCAUACCAUUAAACAGACAACCUCAUCAGGAGCUGAGGUUUAAGUUUCUUCUGUCAUUUCCAACAAAGAUAAAAGUCUAGUCGGCUCCUUACCUCUUGAAUGUAUCUUUUUGACUCUCGGCUUCAAAUGGAGGAUGGCCAUAGAGAAAUUCGUAACACAAUAUGCCUAACGUCCAGUUAUCAACAUCAUAAUCGUGAUCUCUAUUCUCGACCAUCUCAGGUGCCAAGUAGUCUAAGGUUCCACACAUUGUUUUCCUUUUGUUACUUGACUGAACUGACCACCCAAAAUCAGCAAUUUUCAGUC